AAAUACCAAGGACAGUAAUUCAGCUCAAUAAUCAUGCCACAUGUUCUGAUUGCUUGCAGUGCAAGUGUUGCUGCAAUCAAAAUACCAGAUAUUAUAUCUCAACUCGUUCAAAAGAACAUUUGCGCAACAUUAGUCGUCACAGAAGCUAGUAAACAUUUUUUAGAUGUCGAUAAAAUUAGAAACGAUUUUAAAAUUGAUGUUUAUACUGAUCAAAAUGAAUGGGAUGCUUGGAAAACUAGAGGAGAUCCCGUUUUGCAUAUAGAACUUUCAAAAAAAGCAGAUUUAUUGGUACUUGCCCCUUUGAGUGCUAAUACUAUGGCUAAAGUGAGUACAGGAAUUUGUGACAACUUAUUAACAUGCAUUGUUAGAGCUUGGAAUGUUUCAAAACCGGUAUUGUUUUGUCCGUCAAUGAAUACUCAAAUGUGGAAUCAUCCAGUAACUAAAGAUCAAGUGGAUAAAUUGGCGUCAUGGGGAUAUUACCUGAUUCCUCCAAUUGUUAAGACAUUAAUGUGUGGUGAUCACGGUAUUGGUGCAAUGGCCGAAGUAGAAACUAUUAAUUGGAUCAGAAAAAUGUGUGAUAAUUCGUCUUUCGGGCCCCAUAAAAAAGCACUGGGCCCAAACUAAAUCACUUCAAUUGGACGAACUUCUCAGUGAUGGUGAAAUGAAGGAACAACACAGAAAGUCAAUGAUUGAAUGGAGUGAAAAUGUACGCACAAAUGAUAAUGGUUAUUUUUGUCGUAUGGCAAUAGAUAUGUAUGAUCAAAACCAUUCAAAAGAUAUAUGGAUUGUGAGUGAUGCUAGAAGAAAGACUGAUAUUGCAUGGUUCAAAUCAAAUUAUAAUAAUUUAAAACUGAUUAGAAUCACUGCAGAUGAAUGCACAAGAAAAGAAAGAGGAUGGAACUUUAUACAGGGAGUUGACGAUGCAACAUCAGAAUGUGAUUUGGAUGACUAUUUAGAAUGGGAUUGGAUUGUUGAAAACAAUAAAUUUAAUGAUUGCAAUGACUUUAUAAAUGAAAUUGUGAACCAUGUACUAACGGUUUGAUGAUAUUUAUUUUAUAUACUUAAAUAGCUUCAAUAUAUUUUAUACAAUAUACAUACAUUCUAUGCACUGGUUUAUGUAUUUAUCAAGCUCACUCAUGUUAAAUAAAUUUACUUAAAGUAAUUAAUAUAUUUUUACAAUGCAUUAUUAUACGAAUAACGAAUUUACUAUAAUUAUUGUUUCAUUAAUAUAGAACUGUACCUAAUA